UUGGGCGUAAAGAGCUCGUAGGCGGUCUGUUGCGUCUGCUGUGAAAACCCGAGGCUUAACCUCGGGCUUGCAGUGGAUACGGGCAGACUAGAGGUAGGUAGGGGAGAACGGAAUUCCCGGUGUAGCGGUGAAAUGCGCAGAUAUCGGGAGGAACACCGGUGGCGAAGGCGGUUCUCUGGGCCUUACCUGACGCUGAGGAGCGAAAGCGUGGGGAGCGAACAGGAUUAGAUACCCUGGUAGUCCACGCCGUAAACGUUGGGCGCUAGGUGUGGGGUCCUUCCACGGAUUCCGUGCCGCAGCUAACGCAUUAAGCGCCCCGCCUGGGGAGUACGGCCGCAAGGCUAAAACUCAAAGGAA
rnacentral:rRNA from 1 species